rnacentral:rRNA from 1 species
UGUAGUCAUAUGCUUGUCUCAAAGAUUAAGCCAUGCAUGUCUAAGUAUAAGCAAUUAUACCGCGAAACUGCGAAUGGCUCAUUAUAUAAGUUAUCGUUUAUUUGAUAGUACCUUACUACUUGGAUAACCGUGGUAAUUCUAGAGCUAAUACAUGCUAAAAAUCCCGACUUCGGAAGGGAUGUAUUUAUUAGAUUAAAAACCAAUGCCCUUCGGGGCUCACUGGUGAUUCAUGAUAACUCCUCGAAUCGCAUGGCCUUGUGCCGGCGAUGGUUCAUUCAAAUUUCUUCCCUAUCAACUUUCGAUGUUUGGGUAUUGGCCAAACAUGGUUGCAACGGGUAACGGAGGGUUAGGGCUCGACCCCGGAGAAGGAGCCUGAGAAACGGCUACUACAUCCAAGGAAGGCAGCAGGCGCGCAAAUUACCCAAUCCCGACACGGGGAGGUAGUGACAAUAAAUACUGAUACAGGGCUCUUUUGGGUCUUGUAAUUGGAAUGAGUACAAUUUAAAUA